GACUCGGUGGCGGAUGGUCCGCGUCCACAACUCGUAAGCAAUGAGACUGUGUUGACUGUGGAAGGCGCCCGUUCGAAUCAGGCCCGAGUCA